rnacentral:tRNA from 1 species
GUGGGUAUAGCUCAGUGGUAGAGUGCGUGCUUAGCAUGCACAGGGUUCUGGGUUCAAUCCCCAGUGCCUCCA